rnacentral:tRNA from 1 species
GAUGGUUUGGCCGAGUGGUCUAAGGCGCCAGAUUUAGGCUCUGGUCUGAAAGGGCGUGGGUUCAAAUCCCACAGUUGUCA